rnacentral:rRNA from 1 species
AUGACUUCGCUGUUGGCCUGUCCCUCUACGAAGCCUCGACCGUCGGGCCCCCGUUUUCCCUCCCGACGCUGGCCACUCCAUCGCCCUUCUGACAGACGCAUCUCCUCCGCCUCCUUUUUGCGUAUGUGGGAUCGCAUAACCACUGACCAUAUGGCCGGUUCCUCAGGUCGGGCACCAGAUGCUCCGAACCUGCCAUAUCAGGCUCGGCUAUGGCGGGAACGAGACGAUCGCCUGGGCCACCUCCCAUGGUCCUCGGCAGCUCCAAAUAAGAGACACCUCGCAGCCAUUCUCCGGCGACGAUGCUUGCGGCUUGCCCUGCCGCCCUAUGCAGCCCUCCCGCCGUCAGCGUGCGAGGUCGCUACGGCCCGGCUACCUUGCGCCCUCUCGCCGUCUCUCUGGCCGCAGCCCGGCGCCGCCUUCCAGCGCAGAUGGGAGGCCGCCGCCUUGAGCUCACGUGAGCCCUGCUGCAAGUCAGCCGUGGACGAGGUCGACCUGCACAGAUGGGAGACAGCGCAGAGUGCUGGCCGCGCUCGUCGUAUCUCUGGCUACUCCUCCAGCGGCUCCGCCGUCGCCGUCGCCCGAAGCCUAGCUGACUUCGCCCUGGGCAUAGAAAGCGGCGGCAGCGUCAGGGUGUCCGAUGCGUAUUGUGGCAUCUGCAGGCUCCGGCCUCCCACGGACUGUUAUGCUUAUGCGAUAUUUGCCCCGCGAUGGAGCCAGUCGAACAUAUGUUGCUUUCACUGCAGGGCCGGGUCGAGCUGUGGAAUGCCCUGGGGCUACUCACUCAAGCACUAUACUCCUACUCAUUGUCUUUGUUUCCUUCGAGGUUUAGGACAGUUCGUAAUACGCGUCUUCGAUAGUAUGCACAUCUCCAAAACGGUAUCCUGCAUGAACAUUGCAGAGGUGUGGACCAAAGACGUUGUCAUGAAGGGCUCGACAUAUUCCUCAAAAAAAAGUGUUCAUCGAUCUGCUAAUACAAACGUCCAUGGCUGGGACAAAUUAGGUGGUUGUGUGUCAAGUCUUGGUGUGUUAUGGGAUGCAGUUCCACUCUGUGUGGUGAGCCAACUUUCGACUGAUUUUUUACUUUGA